rnacentral:rRNA from 1 species
GAUGAACGCUGGCGGCGUGCCUAAUACAUGCAAGUCGAGCGAACGGACGAGAAGCUUGCUUCUCUGAUGCUAGCGGCGGACGGGUGAGUAACACGUGGAUAACCUACCUAUAAGACUGGGAUAACUUCGGGAAACCGGAGCUAAUACCGGAUAAUAUUUUGAACCGCAUGGUUCAAAAGUGAAAGACGGUUUUGCUGUCACUUAUAGGUGGAUCCGCGCUGCAUUAGCUAGUUGGUAAGGUAACGGCUUACCAAGGCAACGAUGCAUAGCCGACCUGAGAGGAUGAUCGGCCACACUGGAACUGAGACACGGUCCAGACUCCUACGGGAGGCAGCAGUAGGGAAUCUUCCGCAAUGGGCGAAAGCCUGACGGAGCAACGCCGCGUGAGUGAUGAAGGUCUUCGGAUCGUAAAACUCUGUUAUUAGGGAAGAACAUAUGUGUAAGUAACUGUGCACAUCUUGACGGUACCUAAUCAGAAAGCCACGGCUAACUACGUG